rnacentral:misc_RNA from 1 species
GGAGGAAACUGGUAUUGAUACUGAAUUUGUGGAGGUUAUGGCUUUCAGGCAUGUUCACGAUGUGGCCUUUCAAAAGUCGGAUUUGUUCUUCAUCUGCCUGUUAAGGCCCCUGUCAAAACAGAUCAUGGUUGAUAAUCUAGAAAUUCAGGAUGCUAAGUGGAUGCCUCUAGUUGAGUUUGUGGAGCAACCUCUAAUCCAAGAAGACGACAUGUUCAAGAAAAUAAUCGACAUUUUCAUCGCUAGACUAGGGAAGCGCUACUGCGGAUUGUCUGUCCAUCAACUGGUUUCCAAAUUUGAUGACAAACUUUCUACAUUGUAUUUUAACACUGUUGAUGAUCCAAAUUUGAACUGUCAAGCCAGUUAGCAUCACAAAUCAGUAUUGUCUUGUGUAUAUGUGUAAUCUAUAGGUUAUGGAUUCUGUAAAUAUACUUAUAAAUUAUUCAAAAGAACUUGUUAUAGA